UCAGCUGUGCUUACUUGUAAUUGUUUAUAGUUCAUUCGAAACUAUUUUAUGCAUUUACUGACUUAGUUUAAAUGCAAAUGCCUUGUGUUCUGUGCUCUAAGACUGGUAAUGAUGCAAACUGCAUAUAUAAUUUGCCUCGGAAAUGUUCACUGAGGCUUACGUUGGUUGCAUCGUGGAGAAACACUUUUGGAUUCAGAUCUCGGUCCUACGACUAUGUGGGCGUCGUCUUCUAGGUGGAUCUGCUGCGUUUCCUCAUCUAUCUGAGUGUGGAUGAAGCCCGCUGGAGCAAAAGGUUCCAAAGGAGAGACAUGCACCAGAAGUGGAUGCCAUCAUUUACAAGGAACCCUUGCUGAAGAACGAGCAAGCAAUGAGCCUAAUAGGACUUACCCAUAUGUCGGUCUUAAAGGGUGCUAGCGAGGAAUUGAAGAUGGUACCUAAGCAAAGAAACCUCAACUAUAUUGAAAUCGAGUUCCCCUUAGUAGUCUUAUUAAUUUCUGCUGUGCCUGAGGAUAAGGAGGAGCAUGAUAUCUUGCCCAGAAACUACAUCAGCGGUAACGAAGAGAUGGAAAAGGAGCAAGAGGACUUUAAAAAAUCCCAGGCGAAGCCAACAAUCCGUGGAUACUCUUGAUAUUUUCCACCUAGUAUACAAUGAAGCAGCGUGACCGGCUGGUUCAUUAGAAUUUUUAUGCUGUGAUGUCUGUGAACAAUCGAUCAGAGGAAGCAAAGCCUUGGCCAGGCUGAUAGAGGAACACAAGGGCACGCCGCAGGCAGCUAUAAAGCUAGACCUGCGGGAUUUUAUGCUACCAACCAUUUGACUCACCACAUAACAAAGCAGCAUACUGUCAAUCGUGCUCUUCCUGAAGAUCUAGAACAGUCUGCAGGAGCACCAUCACCUACACCCGCAUCGGGAACCUAAGUGCGAUAAGACCUUCAUGGGACCAAACGAGCUGAGGGUAAUCUUAGCAAGAUUAUUAACCCCUUUUGUCAGCUAUAAAUAGAAUUUCUUUGGAGAACACAUGACUACUCACAGGGGAAAGGUGACCUACACUUCCACACCUACAGGAAUGCCCAGCGAAAGAAGGUGCACCGCAAGAACUGGAAGGAGCACCGCCACCAGCGGAUGAAUCAUCCUCGAAAAUCGGACCGUAACACCAGGCAGGAUGAUGGGAUCGGAGGGGAGGAGUGAUAACAACACCCAUUAGCCCUGCAGCACGAGCUAGCCCUAGGUGACCCUUUGACCCAAUAAAAACCAAAUGAGACACGGCGCGGGGUAAACAA